rnacentral:rRNA from 1 species
UACGUAGGGGGCAAGCGUUUGUCCGGAUUUAUUGGGCGUAAAGAGCGUGUAGGCGGCCUGGAAGGUCAGCUGUGAAAACUCGAGGCUCAACCUCGAGACGUCGGCGGAAACCAUCUGGCUAGAGUCCGGAAGAGGAGAGUGGAAUUCCUGGUGUAGCGGUGAAAUGCGCAGAUAUCGAGGAGGAACACCUAUUGCGAAGGCAGCUCGCUGGGACGUAACUGACGCUGAGACGCGAAAGCGUGGGGAGCAAACAGG